AGUUCAGAGCUGUCCCAUUUAACUGAUGUAAAAGGUUGAGAACUAUCAUAUUCAUUUUAUCUCGAUUUAAAACUAUUCCACAAGUUUAGAAGUGUUAUUACCAAUUCAUGCAAGGCAAGUUAAAAGCUGUUCCACAAGUGCAAAACUUGAACAGUGCAACAAGUUCAGAACUUUUACAUCCAAUUUAUGUAAGUUAAAAGCUGUUCCGCAGUGCCACCAUUCGCAGCAGUCAAACCGUGCAAUGGAAGUUCUAUUCACCAUGCAAUAGAACCUUCAUUGCACUGUGUGCUGCGUGCCGCGUGUGCGCCGUGCGUUGAGACAAAUAAUUCAAUGACAUGUGAUCAAUGAUCCACCAAUCAGAUGACAGGGAUUUAUUCAGGUGUUUUAUAAAGAGAGACAAUUAAUGGAGGUGGCAGUGACUAAUUAAUUACUUGUGUAAAUAAUUGUAAUUUAUUAGAUACUAUUAUGAAUAUUAUUAUUUGCAUUUGCAACUGUAUACCUUUUACCGACAUGAAAUAAAUGUUGAACAAUGAGAUUUAUAGUUAACAAGGGGUAAAUUAAGCUUCAAAAUCAAACAAGCCCAAUGAUAUGUCCCACAGUGACCAAAGAAUGGCCCAGCAGGGGUUGGUCACAAUAGUAAAGUUCCCCAUUCCUCAAUGCCCCAUGCGCACGUAAAAAAAACAAGGUAACACUCAUCGCUAAGAGAAGGAGUUUGCCCGGUGUUUUUGGCAGUGGCUGCUUAAUGCGUUGCAGCAGCUUGUGAACUUUUUUUUCUUGAAGAGGUAGAAGAAGACAAAAUCGACCGCGAGAAAAGGCAACACACGCGAACCGCAGAUAAAUUGUUUUUAUAUAUCUUGUAUGAUUUCCUGUAAAAUAUUGUGCAGGGAUGCUGAGCAAGAGCUUGCGACCAAUAUCCGCCGUCUGCAAAUUGAACAGUUCCAAUCUGAAGUCCAUCCAGAUGAUCCUUAAUAAGACAGCAGACGGUACAGGCAUAGACUCCAACACCCUGGCCUUACAGAUGAAGGGCCAUCCUGAGCUGAGGGACAAGCUUCAUGUCGUCACCUCUUGAGGGCCUUUGCCUGUCUACCCUGGGGUGGUCAACUCAGAAUUACCUGAGGAUCUCAAGACAUCUAUCACCAGGCAUCUUCUCAACAUGCAUCUCGACCCCAAAUGGCAAGCUCAACUGAACCAAUACAUGGUGUCCAAA
rnacentral:lncRNA from 1 species